ensembl:lncRNA
AUGUGGUUCAAAAGACCAACAGCACCCUGCACCUUGGCCCCACAGGUAUCACACUGCUCCUCCGUGUGGUGGUCCGACAGGUGCUGGGUGAACCGGUCUCCCUCCACAUGCAGGUUGCACAGGCAGCACUGCACUCCCUCUCCUGCUUCUGCGUCUCCUCUCCCUGCCUCUGCGUUGACUGCCCCUGCCUCUGUGUCUCCUCCUCUCGCUGCCUCUGUGUCUCCUCCUCUCGCUGCCUCUGUCUCUCCUCCUCUCGCUGCCUCUGUGUCUCCUCCUCUCGCUGCCUCUGUCUCUCCUCCUCUCGCUGCCUCUGUCUCUCCUCCUCUCGCUGCCUCUGUCUCUCCUCCUCUCGCUGCCUCUGUCUCUCCUCCUCUCGCUGCCUCUGUGCCUCCUCUCGCUGCCUCUGUGCCUCCUCUCGCUGCCUCUGUCUCUCCUCUCCCUACGUCCGUGCUCCCUGCCUCGUCCGUCUUAACUCCUCCUGCCUCACUAGACCCAGCAGCGCCUGAUGACAGAUCUGCUGGCUGGGGGGGGGGGGUUACAAAAAGAGGGCCAUGCUAUGCUACAUGCAACUAAGAAUCCUACACUACUAUACUAGUUUUCUCCAGAAUGGUACAGAUACAUAUUGUUCAAUAAAUAAAUCCACAAAAUAGAACGAUGCAUUGAAUAGUGUUUAUUCUGACAUGUUAAAAGAAAAUCAAUAAAAAGCAAACAGGCUUUGAAAACAUCAGAGGCAUUACUGCAAAAUCACUGAAGCCCACCAGAGGAAAAAACAAACAAACAAACCAGCAAACAAUCAAUUAGUAAAUAAUUUCACCUACCUUGUGGAACCCACAGGAGCACUUAAGGCUUCUCCCAAACAGAUCCUUGGUGUUAAUUUGCUUCUGCAGCGGGCAAGCAUCUAUUUUUUCUAAGGCCUUUUUCCAUUUUUUGGCCCCUGGCCGUUUGCCUGUGGUAAAAUGGAAUUGGCCCCGAGCAUACUUGAGGCAUACAUCCCUCCAAUAGGAAUCAGGCUUUGCUUCCUUCAUCUGCAAACAUCAAAUGUAAAACAGGUUAAUGUCGAGCUAGGCUAUGUGUGUGUACAGACAGACAGAUUGGUAGAAAUGAUACAUGUGUAUGUAUUUAUAUAUGUAUGUUUGUAGGUGGGUAGGUAUGUUUUGCAUUACUGUUUUAUUACUAUACAAAUAAAGUUCUAAUAAUAUUAAUGUUAUCAUCAUUAUUUGUAUUAUUCAAUCAAUCAAUAUUUUCAUACGAAGACAUUGUAGCACAAAGUGCUUCACAAAAUAAAAGCAGGCAAACUAAAGGAUCAUUAUUGUUAAUAAUUAAACUUGGCACAAUUAAACUUGUUUCAUACACCUGUUUGCGCUGUUCAAGCACAUAACAAGACUCCAUUACCGGAGGGGAUGAAACUUGGCAAGGAUCAUUAUUGUUAAUAAUUAAACUUGGCACAAUUAAACUUGUUUCAUACACCUGUUUGCGCUGUUCAAGCACAUAACAAGACUCCAUUACCGGAGGGGAUGAAACUUGGCACAACUAUUUCGUUUAUACGACAAAUAAAUACGUUAUUACCUUUCUACCGAUGUUUUAUCUCCCGCAAGCGGUGGAAAAAAUGGCUGCGACUCUAACGCGAUGUUCAUCGUAUAUUCCCGCCCCUCCCGCGUCACGUGACCUAUACUGUUCGGAACUGUGUUCGGAUCUCAUUCGAAACUCUUUGAUCUCUGAAGGAAUAUGUUCGGACCUGGUUAGGAGCAUGUUAGGACCUCGUUCGGAUUUGUUCGGACCUUUUGUAAUGUGUUCGGACCUCGGAGGCAGUCCGAAAACCCGCAGGUACGGCCACCCCAUCAGCUUAGCAACCUCUAAAAUACUUUUUAUAUUUUCCGAAAUGUGGUCGAGACUAAAUAUGGGCAAGAGAG